rnacentral:lncRNA from 1 species
GAUGGAUAAUACAAUGGUAAGACUGAUAAUUGUUAAAAUCGAAACGACGAAAAAUAAAUUCAAAAAAAAAAAAACUUAAUGUAGAAAAAGAAAAGAAAAAAAAAAGCACACUGAAAUUUAUGUGGUUCGACCAACAGACUAUGUCUAUGGGCGAAGACAGAACAAAUAUUUUAUUAAUAUCGAAAGACGGAGUACAAAGAAGAUCUCUGAAAAAAUCAAAACUUUAAUUAGGUCCGAAACUUCGAAAUCCGCAU